UGGCGAGUAUACCGCCGGGCAUGCCUGGCACGUGCCUGGGCUGCCCUUCUUAUAUAUAUAUAUUUUUAUUUUUUUUUUAAAUGAAAACAAAAACAGAAAAAGGAAGAGUUAGAAUUUGCUUUCUCUUUCUCGAUCCCUCUCUCUCAAAAUCGCUGUUCCUCUCUCACCCACCGCCACCGGCCGCCGCUCUCAAUCCCUCUCUCACUGCUCUCAAUCUCUCUCCCUCACCUCGCCGUAACGCCGUUCAAUCUUCCGCCGCAGCCGCACCACUGCUCAGCUCACCGCGCCGCACCACACCACACCGCACCGCACUCACUCUUUUUCUUCGUCUCGUUUCAGGCUCUCUAAUAUUACUGGAAUCGCCACUGCAUUCAUUCAUCAACAAAACUUUCCGAAUCUGAAAUAUCUUCAUCGAUCAACCUUCUGAUUCACCAACCUUGGAAAAAAGAGUAAUCAAAAUUUGAACAACUAUACAUCAAAAUGG